rnacentral:lncRNA from 1 species
UUGGCCUAACUUCUGAAAAAAUGAUUUCUUUAAAAGUGAUUUUGGUUUGGAGAAUGGAUUUUGGUGAAAAGCUGUAGAGCGUUUGGCCGAGUUUAGGUAAAAACGAUUUUUCUAAAGUGAUUUUCUAAAACUGUUUGGCAAAAUAUUGUUGAUAUUGCAUACAUUAAUAUUUUUACAAAAUUUUAUUUUAAAAUAAUUUAAAAUUUGAGUUAAAAUUAAAAAUUUAAAUUUGAAUUUAAAUUAAAAAUUUAAAUUUGAAUGAAAAUUAAAAAUUUAAAUUUCAAUUAAAAUUAAAAUUUUAAAUUUGAAUUUAAAUUAAAAAUUUAAAUUUGAAUUAAAAGUAUAAUUUUUAAAUUUCAAAUUUGUACAAAAAAUAAAUUUGAAAUUUUAAAAUUUAAAUUUUAAAUUUUGAAUUUUUAAAUAUAAAUUUAAAAUUUCAAUUUUUCAAUCUGAAUUUAAAUUUUGAAUUUCAAAUUUAAAAUCUAAAUUUAAAAUUCAAAAUUUAAAAUUUAAAAUUUAAGAAUUGAAAUUUGAAAUUCAAAAUUUAAAAUUUAAAAUUUAAGAUUUGAAAUUUGAAAUUCAAAAUUUAAAAUUUAAAAUUUAAAAUUUGUAUUUUGAAAUUUGAAAUUUGAAAUUUAAAAUUUAAAAUUUAAAAUUUGAAUUUUGAAAUUUUAAAGUAAACUAAAAUUUUAAAUUUGAAAAUUUUAAAUUUAAAUUUUUGAAUUUUGAAAUUUAAAAUUAAAAUUUAAAAUUUGAAUUUUGUAAUUUGAAAAUUAGAACUUGUA